UGACAAAGGCCUAUUCUUCUGCAGACCACAUAAAAUUAUCUAUCUGGUGAAGAUCUGAAUUUAUGUACUAUCAGGGCCCUUUGUGAAGUGCUGGCGAGCUCUUGGGCCAGUAGAGCCUCAUUGCUGGCAAGGCUGCUCCUCGAGAGGAGUUCUGUUCAGGAACUCCUUCAACGCUUGUUUUACAUACAAAGGGAAGGGAAAACAAAACAACCAGAACCAAAAUCAGCGAAACAGAAAAUGAUUUCCUAGAUGGCUGGUACCUCAUCGACACUUAGUCUAACCUGUUCUGUAUUGGAGCAGCACAACAGAGCCAUCCUCCUGGAUUAGAGCAAGAACAAGAAUUUCUACUUCUUGAGAAAACACCCAUAAGCUCAAGGAGGGAAAAGGUCAACUGUGACAAGGAUUAUGCAUUUCUGAAACUCCUUCUCCUGUCUACAAAGAUUCCUAUAUUAUGUCCGAACUACUGAACUCAGGUUUACCCUUGCAAAACCAAAAAUCUUGCUAUACCACUUGCAUCACCUGCUACAAGGCUUACAGAAGAACUUCCCUUCAAGCAAAAAAUACAAAGAAUGCAAAUAAACAUUGUCAAGCCAUGAAACACUGUGUUACAACAGAAGAGCACUGUGGGAGUUAUUGGGGCAUGACCAAUAUACAAAAUACCACCAUUACUUUUCCUGUAAUCGACAGUAGCGCCUUUAAGUUACUAGAAUCUGUAAUGUUUCUGCAUAAAAAUCUGAUAUCUGGCCUAGUCAACAGCAGUUUUUCCAUCCAUUGCAGUGGAUGCAAAAGUUUAUGGUCCUCUUUUCCAUGUACAGUCCGCAGACAUGGAAGUAUUAAUAAAGUAACAAACAAUUUUGCAGGUAUGUAAGUUGUUAUACCUAAAACUAAAUUGAAAUUAUGAUAAGGCCACAAAUGAGAAAAAAAGUCAAUAACAGAUUGUUACAGCUGCUCCUCUUUUCAGUCAGCUUAUUGAAAAUCCAGUAAGUCUCAACUCAAGCAAGCACAUUUAAAACUUAAAAGCUUAGCUGUUUGUGUUACAAUGCCUAUGAAUAGCUCAUCCCUGAGCUUCUGGUCGGAAAAAAACACCCUAUAUCCUGUCCUAUGUGCUCAAUGUUUUGCCAUGCCACGCUGUACACAGUUCAUGGCCUGUGGCCACUGUUUUUCAGUGUCUGGCCACCCUGAAUCCUUCAGGGAUUGUCACUCAGUUAUGGCUCAGCAUAACAUGCACUAGUUACUGUUCGUGUCUUCGUAUGUGAAGUGCAAAUCUUCUCCUGAAAGAUAGUGCUGGCAGU